GGCUCCAUAGCUCAGUGGUGUGAGAGCACUGGUCUAGUAAACCAGGGGUUGUGAGUUCAAUUCUCACUGGGGCCU